rnacentral:lncRNA from 1 species
AAACCCGUCAAGGGACUCUGAUGGACGAGAUGCAUGCAAUGAUGCAACGUCUGAUGUUGCAAUUUCCGCCACCACAGUGAACCAGUGUGAGUCCCUCUCUAUCUUGGAUUAAACAUUGCGGACAACGUUUAGUUUAAGUGUGGUACUCUGUGUGUGUGUGUGUGUGUGGGGGGGGUAUUAUUUGUUGUUUUUUUAUUUGUUUUUUUCUUAAUAUUUUAUUUUU